rnacentral:lncRNA from 1 species
CAGAAUUUCGACAGUUCCCUCACCUGUUACCAAACCCCAGAGGCUACAGAGUACACAGGGCACGGCAGCUCCGGUGGCAGUCCACUCCAUGAAGAGGGAGGCCUUGACACACAAGAGAAAGAAGUAGUGAAGUCUGAGCAAGGAUCUGCCCCCGGCUCCCUGCACCUGCCUCCUAGAGCUACACAGAUGCCACCCAUCCGUGAAUGUUGAGAGAAGACCUCUGAAGUCCCCAAGCAAAGCACUCCAAAAGCCACAGAGCUGUCUGCGAGUCACAUGGCCAAACCUACUGGAAGCACCCAGGCAAGGUAAAUAGAAGUCACUUUUCUACACUGAACCCGGUGUGGUCCUCCAUUUCUGAACCUCCAGGGGAGCCUCAAAAGCCCUGGGCCACAAGCCUGUGGCUGCUCAUGUUCCCCAGAGGUUGCCAGGCGAGGUUCAGAGUCCCAGCUGCACCCCACUCAGCCACCCUUGGCCGGGUCUCAGAGGCUACCUACCGCUUUCCUCAAAAGGGCUCCCAUCCCAACACAGAGAGCAGUCCCGGGAAGGUGGCCAGGGACU